GACGAACGCUGGCGGCGUGCUUAACACAUGCAAGUCGAACGGAAAGGCCCUGCUUUUGUGGGGUGCUGGAGUGGCGAACGGGUGAGUAACACGUGAGUAACCUGCCCUUGAUUUUGGGGUAACUUCAGGUAACUGGGGCUAAUACCGGAUAGGAUCUCCUGCUGCAUUGUGGGGGUUGGAAAGUUUCGGCUGUUGGGGAUGGAUUCGCGGCUUAUCAGCUUGUUGGUGGGGUAGUGGCUUACCAAGGCUUUGGCGGGUAGCCGGCAUGAGAGGGUGACCGGGCACAUGGGGACUGAGAUACGGAGCAGACUCGUACGGGAGACAGCAGUAGGGAAUAUUGCCCAAUGGGCCGAAGCCUGAUGAAGCAGCGCCGCGGGCGGGAUGACGGCCUUCGGGGUGUGAACCGCUUUCGCCUGAGACGAAGCGUGAGUGACGGUAAUGGGAAAAGAAGCACCGGCUAACUACGUG
rnacentral:rRNA from 1 species